GAUGAACGCUGGCGGCGUGCCUAAUACAUGCAAGUCGAGCGAACAGACGAUGAGCUUGCUCCUCUGACGUUAGCGGCGGACGGGUGAGUAACACGUGGAUAACCUACCUAUAAGACUGGGAUAACUUCGGGAAACCGGAGCUAAUACCGGAGAAUAUAUUGAACCGCAUGGUUCAAUAGUUAAAGACGGUUUUGCUGUCACUUAUAGAUGGAUCCGCGCCGCAUUAGCUAGUUGGUAAGGUAACGGCUUACCAAGGCAACGAUGCGUAGCCGACCUGAGAGGGUGAUCGGCCACACUGGAACUGAGACACGGUCCAGACUCCUACGGGAGGCAGCAGUAGGGAAUCUUCCGCAAUGGGCGAAAGCCUGACGGAGCAACGCCGCGUGAGUGAUGAAGGUCUUCGGAUCGUAAAACUCUGUUAUUAGGGAAGAACAAAUGUGUAAGUAACUAUGCACGUCUUGACGGUACCUAAUCAGAAAGCCACGGCUAACUACGUG
rnacentral:rRNA from 1 species